AGAGUUCGAUUAUGGCUCAGGACGAACGCUGGCGGCGUGCCUAACACAUGCAAGUCGAGCGGAGACAGUGAGUAGCUUGCUAUGAGCUGUUUUAGCGGCGGACGGGUGAGUAACGCGUGAGCAACCUUUCCCAGACAGGGGAAUAACACACCGAAAGGUGUACUAAUACCGCAUAAGACCACGGGAUCACAUGGUUCUGAGGUAAAAGAUUUAUCGGUUUGGGGUGGGCUCGCGUCCGAUUAGGUAGUUGGUGAGGUAACGGCCCACCAAGCCGACGAUCGGUAGCCGACCUGAGAGGGUGAUCGGCCACAUUGGGACUGAGACACGGCCCAA
rnacentral:rRNA from 1 species